rnacentral:tRNA from 1 species
UAAGAAUUUUAUGUUCAAGCUUCUAACUUGAAUAAGGGGAUUUCCUCCGUUCUUAU